UAAAAAAAGGUAAGCUACUAAGAGCGAAUGGUGGAUGCCUUGACUGGUAAAGGCGAUGAAGGACGUACUAGACUGCGAUAAGCUACGGGGAGCUGUCAAGAAGCUUUGAUCCGUAGAUUUCCGAAUGGGGCAACCCAAUGUAUAGAGAUAUACAUUACCUAUAUAGGAGCGAACGAGGGGAAUUGAAACAUCUUAGUACCCUCAGGAAAAGAAAUCAAUAGAGAUUGCGUCAGUAGCGGCGAGCGAAAGCGCAAGAGGGCAAACCCAGUGCUUGCACUGGGGGUUGUAGGACUGCAAUGUGCAAGAGCUGAGUUUAGCAGAACAUUCUGGAAAGUAUAGCCAUAGAGGGUGAUAGUCCCGUAUGCGAAAAACAAAGCUUAGCUAGCAGUAUCCUGAGUAGGGCGGGACACGAGGAAUCCUGUCUGAAUCCGGGUCGACCACGAUCCAACCCUAAAUACUAAUACCAGAUCGAUAGUGCACAAGUACCGUGAGGGAAAGGUGAAAAGAACUGAGGUGAUCAGAGUGAAAUAGAACCUGAAACCAUUUGCUUACAAUCAUUCAGAGCACUAUGUAGCAAUACAGUGUGAUGGACUGCCUUUUGCAUAAUGAGCCUGCGAGUUGUGGUGUCUGGCAAGGUUAAGCAAACGCGAAGCCGUAGCGAAAGCGAGUCUGAAUAGGGCGCUUAGUCAGAUGCUGCAGACCCGAAACGAAGUGAUCUAUCCAUGAGCAAGUUGAAGCUAGUGUAAGAACUAGUGGAGGACUGAACCCAUAGGCGUUGAAAAGCCCCGGGAUGACUUGUGGAUAGGGGUGAAAGGCCAAUCAAACUUCGUGAUAGCUGGUUCUCUCCGAAAUAUAUUUAGGUAUAGCGUUGUGUCGUAAUAUAAGGGGGUAGAGCACUGAAUGGGCUAGGGCAUACACCAAUGUACCAAACCCUAUCAAACUCCGAAUACCUUAUAUGUAAUCACAGCAGUCAGGCGGCGAGUGAUAAAAUCCGUCGUCAAGAGGGAAACAACCCAGACUACCAGCUAAGGUCCCUAAAUCUUACUUAAGUGGAAAACGAUGUGAAGUUACUUAAACAACCAGGAGGUUGGCUUAGAAGCAGCCAUCCUUUAAAGAAAGCGUAAUAGCUCACUGGUCUAGUGAUUUUGCGCGGAAAAUAUAACGGGGCUAAAGUAAGUACCGAAGCUGUAGACUUGCACACAACUUAGAUUAUUUAAGUUUAGAAUAUGAGAAACUAAGUUAUAUGUUUAGUUAUAUUUUUACUGAUUUUUAUAGAGUAAAGAUAGAAAUAAAACUUAGUAAAAUCAGUAAAAAUAUUCUUAGGCUAAAGUUAAGUAGUUUAAGUUGUGUGCAAGUGGUAGGAGAGCGUUCUAUUUGCGUCGAAGGUAUACCGGUAAGGAGUGCUGGAGCGAAUAGAAGUGAGCAUGCAGGCAUGAGUAGCGAUAAUUAAUGUGAGAAUCAUUAACGCCGUAAACCCAAGGUUUCCUACGCGAUGCUCGUCAUCGUAGGGUUAGUCGGGUCCUAAGUCGAGUCCGAAAGGGGUAGACGAUGGCAAAUUGGUUAAUAUUCCAAUACCAACAUUAGUGUGCGAUGGAAGGACGCUUAGGGCUAAGGGGGCUAGCGGAUGGAAGUGCUAGUCUAAGGUUGUAGGAGGUUAUACAGGCAAAUCCGUAUAACAAUACUCCGAGAACUGAAAGGCUUUUUGAAGUCUUCGGAUGGAUAGAAGAACCCCUGAUGCCGUCGAGCCAAGAAAAGUUUCUAAGUUUAGCUAAUGUUGCCCGUACCGUAAACCGACACAGGUGGGUGGGAUGAGUAUUCUAAGGCGCGUGGAAGAACUCUCUUUAAGGAACUCUGCAAAAUAGCACCGUAUCUUCGGUAUAAGGUGUGCCUCCCUUUGUAUUAGAAUUCACUUCGAAAGCAAAGAAGGUUACAACAAAGAGUCCCUCCCGACUGUUUACCAAAAACACAGCACUCUGCUAACUCGUAAGAGGAUGUAUAGGGUGUGACGCCUGCCCGGUGCUCGAAGGUUAAUUGAUGGGGUUAGCAUUAGCGAAGCUCUUGAUCGAAGCCCGAGUAAACGGCGGCCGUAACUAUAACGGUCCUAAGGUAGCGAAAUUCCUUGUCGGUUAAAUACCGACCUGCAUGAAUGGCGUAACGAGAUGGGAGCUGUCUCAAAGAGGGAUCCAGUGAAAUUGUAGUGGAGGUGAAAAUUCCUCCUACCCGCGGCAAGACGGAAAGACCCCGUGGACCUUUACUACAGCUUGACACUGCUAUUUGGAUAAGAAUGUGCAGGAUAGGUGGGAGGCUUUGAGUAUAUGACGCCAGUUGUAUAUGAGCCAUUGUUGAGAUACCACUCUUUCUUAUUUGGGUAGCUAACCAGCUUGAGUUAUCCUCAAGUGGGACAAUGUCUGGUGGGUAGUUUGACUGGGGCGGUCGCCUCCCAAAUAAUAACGGAGGCUUACAAAGGUUGGCUCAGAACGGUUGGAAAUCGUUCGUAGAGUAUAAAGGUAUAAGCCAGCUUAACUGCAAGACAUACAAGUCAAGCAGAGACGAAAGUCGGUCUUAGUGAUCCGGUGGUUCUGUGUGGAAGGGCCAUCGCUCAAAGGAUAAAAGGUACCCCGGGGAUAACAGGCUGAUCUCCCCCAAGAGCUCACAUCGACGGGGAGGUUUGGCACCUCGAUGUCGGCUCAUCGCAUCCUGGGGCUGGAGCAGGUCCCAAGGGUAUGGCUGUUCGCCAUUUAAAGCGGUACGCGAGCUGGGUUCAGAACGUCGUGAGACAGUUCGGUCCCUAUCUGCCGUGGGCGUAAGAAGAUUGAAGAGAUUUGACCCUAGUACGAGAGGACCGGGUUGAACAAACCACUGGUGUAGCUGUUGUUCUGCCAAGAGCAUCGCAGCGUAGCUAAGUUUGGAAAGGAUAAACGCUGAAAGCAUCUAAGCGUGAAGCCAACUCUAAGAUGAAUCUUCUCUAAGCUCUCUAGAAGACUACUAGUUUGAUAGGCUGGGUGUGUAAUGGAUGAAAGUCCUUUAGCUGACCAGUACUAAUAGAGCGUUUGGCUUAUCUUUAAUAAAGCAU
rnacentral:rRNA from 1 species